UAUUAAAAAUUUUCUAAUUUUACUUUUAAAAAAUUACGUGGUUGACAAAAAAACUACAUAGUUACACGUGGAGUGCCACGUGUACCUCAUUUUGAUAUAUCAGGAUUAAUUUUUAAUAGUAGAAAUAGUUAAAAUUUUUAAAA
rfam:Gossypium raimondii Chr11_contig_1498, whole genome shotgun sequence.